GGGUCAGUAGGUUGGUCGUGCCACCGGUACGUACUGGUCUCACUGAUUCCUCCUUCCUGAAGAACCGUAAUGCCAUUAAUUUGGUGUUGCGGGGAAACAGGACUGUUACUUUGAAUAAUUAGAGUGUUUAAAGCAAGCUAACGCUUGAAUACAUUAGCAUGGAAUAAUGAAAUAGGACGAUCGAUCCUAUUUUGUUGGUUUCUAGGAUUGACGUA
rnacentral:rRNA from 1 species